UUUAACCAAGUUCAUCAAUAAUUCAAUUUGGUUACAAGUACGCGUACAAUACGAUUCCUUGUCUCUUCUCUCAGCGUCUCUCUCCAGGGUACGAUUGCAGCAGGAAAGAGCAGUUCGUGUGCUCGUCCUUGGUGGUGUGAGAUCGAUCCAAGUUGCCCCAAGGACGUUCAGAUCGAUCUAGCCCUCUAUCCUCUUUUCCCUUUCCUGAGAAAAGGUUGUUUCUCCAAAAUUGUGAAAGAUUUUUUGGAGGUUUGAAUUUGAAAUUCACCCUAAAAAAUCUACCCGAUUUUCCUCCCUUUCCAACCCUAAUUUUACAGCUAUAAUUAGGGCUGACAGGUUUUCACUAAGAGAAGCGCAAAAUAUACCAAGAGUAAACCAAGCGAGCGUUCCAUUAAGUUUGCUGCGACAUUCAAGAUUUCGUUUGGGUUUCUCUGUUGCUGUCAGCAUCUGUGCUUUGUGUGAUGAAGGUGGUCGUUCUACUGCCCGUUUAUUUUCUCAGUUGCUGCUCCAAAAGAGGUAUCGUUUCCUCUACUCUCUCGUCUCUCCUUUGUUUUUUGGUCGAAAAUGAUAGGUUGUGGCCUGUGAAAUGGUGGAUGUUGUCGGAUUAGUUUUUCAGUUUUAACUUGUUUUUUUUAGCAUGUUCUGAUGAGUAGCUCUUCUUUCAUUUGUUUUGCUGGGAAUGAUCUAUUUAUUUUAGAGUCAAUAUUAAAAAAUCUCGAAACUAUUGUCCUAAGCUAAAAGUUGUUGUCGUUUUAACUCCUUUCUCGAUCUUCAUAACAACUUUUGGUUGAGUCUAUUCAAUUAGCCGUAAUCUUUUUUUUUUUUUGUCACGGAAAAUUUGCCAUAUUGUUCUUUGGCCAAGUCAGAUGAUUGAAUGGAGAUGUAAAUUGCUUGGAGGUUCAUGUGGUUUUAGGCUUGAAAUGUGUUGAUUGUGAUUCCUAUCCUCUUCAUUACUUCAAUGUGCUUGUUUUUAUCAUCUCCUGUUAUUCUUAUAUCGUUGUGAAUUUUCUGUCAUUCAGGUGGUAUCUUUGAGUUUAUUCAAAUGAUAGUUAUGUUUCUUCGGGUUCAACUUAUGAAGUAUGAUAUUCAUCUAAUAUGCACCCUGCUUUCUCUAUGUAUUUUGGAAUCUGAUCAUUUGUGGUAACUUGCUCAUAAUGUGAUUUGAUUUUGUUGUGAUUAAGAUUACCCUUCUUCUGAAUUUUACUAUCUUCAUGCUGGCAUAGGUCCAAGUUUUUUUUUAUGUUUUGGUUUUGAUAGUUUAAUGAGGAAACUUGUCAUGUUUCUUUUGCAUAUUGAAUUCAUUUUUGUCUCUGUAACAUAUGUAAAGAGGGACAGUUUUUAUUUUUAUUUGUUCUUAUUAUUUAUUUA